GAUGAACGCUGGCGGCGUGGAUAAGGCAUGCAAGUCAAACGGCCCGCCCAAACUUCUCUUCGGAGAAGAAUGUUGGCGGGUAGUGGCGAACGGGUUAGUAACACGUAGAUACAUACCGCUGAGACAGGAAUAAUCCGUCGAAAGGCGGACUAAUACCUGAUAGUCCCUCACGGGUAAAGAUUUCGCAAGAAAUCGCUCAGUGAAUGGUCUGCGGCCUAUCAGCUAGUUGGUGGGGUAAAAGCUUACCAAGGCGAUGACGGGUAGGGGAUGUGAGAGCAUGUUCCCCAACAAUGGGACUGAGACACGGCCCAUACUCCUACGGGAGGCAGCAGUCGAGAAUAUUGGUCAAUGGGGGAAACCCUGAACCAGCGACGCCGCGUGCUUGAGGAAGCCCUUCGGGGUGUAAAGAGCUUUUCUGGGGGAUGAACCUUCGGGUGACAGUACUCCAGGAAUAAGCGGAGCCUAAUUCUGUGCCAGCAGGCGCGGUAAUUCAGAAUCCGCAAGCGUUAUCCGGAUUUAUUGGGCGUAAAGGGUCCGUAGGCGGCCAAGAAAGUCUUUAGUUAAAUACCCAGGGCUUAACCUUGGGGGUGCUAGAGAUACUUUUUGGCUAGAGGGCGUUAGAGGUUGAUGGAACGGUCGGUGUAGGGGUGAAAUCCGUUGAUAUCGACCGGAACACCAAAAGCGAAGGCACUCAACUGGGACGACCCUGACGCUGAGGGACGAAAGCGUGGGUAGCAAAAAGGAUUAGAUACCCUUGUAGUCCACGCUGUAAACGAUGGACACUGGCUAUUCGAAGUGUCGACCCUUCGAGUGGCGAAGCUAACGCGUUAAGUGUCCCGCCUGGGAAGUACGGCGGCAACGCUA
rnacentral:rRNA from 1 species